rnacentral:misc_RNA from 1 species
GUGAAUCAUCAAAUCUUUGAACGCAAAUUGCACUCUCCGGUUUUCCGGGAGAGUAUGCCAGUUUGGGGGUAUGUUUAAAAAAUAAUCGUGGCUGAUGCUGUGGUGGCGAAUCGUAAUUGGGUCAUCUUCCACCUUUCGGGGUUGUAAGCGACCUAAAAUUUUUCUUACGAUUUCUACGAACGUACCUAAGAAUUUUUCUUGUAUGUUCGAGACAUCGAAAUCAUUUUAGGGACGUGCGCCGCGUCU